rnacentral:piRNA from 1 species
CUCUACUUUUUGCCUGAGUACUCAAGAAAG